CAUGUGCUCCCUGCAUUCAUGGAUUUCCUUGCUGUUUUGACGGAUUACCCAUGUUCACAAUUGGUGGUAACUUCUUGUGAAUUUGCAAUUAGCGAUGGAGUGGGCAGGAUGUGGGUGUAACUGUCCAAAAGACUGCAGCGGGGCUUCGUUGUGUAGUGCCUCUUGAUCAUAGUUUUCCCUCGGUGGUGCGCUGCCGUGUGGUGUUGUGCAAGAGACUGCAGUGGGGAUUUGCUGUGUAGUGCCUUUGAUCACAGUUUUCCCUCGGUGGUGCCUUUGCCGUGUGGUGCUGUGCAAGAGACUGCAGUGGGGAUUUGCUGUGUAGUGCCUUUGAUCACAGUGCUGUGCAAGAGACUGCAGUGGGGAUUUGCUGUGUAGUGCCUUUGAUCACAGUUUUCCCUCGGUGGUGCCUUUGCCGUGUGGUGCCGUGAUAGAGACUGCAGCGGGGAUUUGCUGUGUAGUGCCUUUGAUCACAGUUUUCCCUCGGUGGUGACGUUGUUGUGCACAUUGACCUUACCGUUUGCCGUCGCUGCUCGCUGUUGCUGUUUUGGAGCUGAUAGGCAGAAGGGGAGAGCUGUAGAGAUGGCGGAGUCACUAGAGCUUGAGGUAGAAUGUAAGGCGUCGAGCUUCAUGAUCGGCUAGUCGUUUGAUGGCGG
rnacentral:lncRNA from 1 species